AUGGAAGACAGGGGCACUGCCUUGAUUGCUUGGGACAAAGUUUGCCAACCAAAAGAAAAAGGAGGACUUGGGGUGUUGGAUAUUGCCAGUCACAACAAAUGUUUACUUAUGAAGCAUGUCCACAAGUUCUUAAAUCAACAGAAUAUUCCUUGGGUCAAAUUGAUUUGGGAGACUUAUUAUCCUGACAGAAUGCUUCACACUAACCCACAAGGAUCUUUUUGGUGGAAAAGUAUUCUCAAGUUAGUGCCUGAGUUUAGACAAGCUGCUGUCCCCAAGAUAGGCUCUGGCAACACUAUAAGAUUUUGGUUUGACAACUAG
rnacentral:rRNA from 1 species